AAAAAGCUGUGUUGCUGACCUAUUGCUUUGGACUUCCUGCAUUUGCUUCCUCAGGAGCAUCAAGUCACAGGGAGAGAUGUUCCUGUUCCCAGUAGCUUGACGUAUUUUCGUGGAGCAAUUUCUGAAUUCUAUUAAGAUAACAAGCAAAUCUCCUUUGGUGCUCUGGGUCUGCACUUUGGGAAGUAAAGGUGAUUUCUUGCACCAAGUGUCUGCUCCACAUGCUUUCUGGCUGCAGCCUCUCCUUUAUCUGCAAGUCUCCCUGCCUUCUCUUUCUACACGUUGAGACCAGCUGCCUCAGAGUUGUUGCCACACCUGAGCUUUGCUGCAGUGCACACUGGACCUCUUGUCUUAAGCAUCUUGGCUUUCAUCUUCUGUGGAAGGCUUGCUGAAUCUUCAUAUACAGCAGCAGGGCUUGCUAGAGGCAUGGCUGCGUUGAAUGCAUUGUUUAUCAGACUGACCCACAGGCAAUCUCCA